rnacentral:rRNA from 1 species
GACGAACGCUGGCGGCGUGCCUAACACAUGCAAGUGGAGCGACGAACCAGGCUUCGGCCUGGGGCAAAGCCGCGAACGGGUGAGUAACACGUGGGUAACCUGCCCCGCUGACCGGGACAACCCGAGGAAACUCGGGCUAAUACCGGAUGUACUCCUCGCACGGAAGUGCAAGGAAUAAAGGAAGCUUCGGCCUCCGCUUCGGGAGGGGCCCGCGGCCCAUUAGCUAGUUGGGGAGGUAAUGGCUUGCCAAGGCGACGAUCGGGAGCUGGUCUGGGAGGACGAUCAGCCGCACUGGGACGGAGGCACGGCCCAGACUCAUACGGGAGGAAGCAGUGGGGAAUCUGGCGCAACGCGCGAAAGCGUGACGCAGCAACGCCGCGUGGAGGAAGAAGGCCUUCGGGUUGUACACCCCGUUCAGGAGGGACGAAGGCACGGCGGUGAACAGCCGUCCGUGCUGACGGUACCUCCAGAAGAAGCCCCGGCUAACUACGUGCCAGCCGCCGCCGUAAGAC